rnacentral:lncRNA from 1 species
GAACCGGAGGCGACGUGGGCGGUGCAACGAUCGGGGCGAGCUCGGCGGCGCCAGCGGCCUUCUAUGGCAUCCGUCUCCACCCUCGGCGUCUUAUCGCUUGUAAGACCCCCCUCCUCUUCUUAACCUCUCCUCCUCCAUUAAUUUCUGAAUUUCUAGGGUUAGGGUUAUUGAUUUUUGGGAGCAGUGCAGGGGAAGGGGAAGAAACUAGGGAAGAAAAGGAAAAAAAAGAGGAGUUUAGGGAGUGAUGGAAGUGAUGCUGGAGACAGGCACCUGACAGUGAGAUGAUGGAGGUGGAGAAGAAGGCCUAGCCGAUGACAUAGAAGAAGAGGAGAGCUCAAUGCUACGGAGCAAAAGGAACAACGGUAGAGUAUCAGACUUUGAUUCAGCUGAGACAUUUUAGUUUUUUCGCAAGACAUGUGAAUCCUCUCUGCGUUUCUGCUUUUGUUUAGAAUUCACGAAUUUUCUUCCUUGUAGCUAUAAAUGAUGGUUCCGACUUAAUUGGAUGUUAGUAAUUUUUUUUGCGAAUAAUUGGAUGUUAGUAAUGACGUACAUAAACAAUCAAUCUAUACAGCUGUACCUAGCUGACAAUGCUAUGUCUCUGUUUGGACCUGGCUGACGAUGCUAACUCUCUGUAUAUUUGUAUUAUCGAAAUUUGCACAAACCUACAAGAAAAAUUUCUUCAAUUAAAGAUAAUUCAUUUUAUGAGGAAUUUGUUUUAUAUUUAGUGAAUUUAUUAGGCAAACAAGGAAUUGGAAUUCUGCCAAGAAAUCUAGGAGCAGAAGAAGAUGCAAGACUUGCGGACUAGGCAAAUGUUGUGCAGGCGAGAAAAUGGUAAGUAUGGUGUACUCACGGCAAGACACGAAAGCAUACACACUCACCAUAAGCUGAAUGAACGAAUGCAUCUUGUUAAUUAGUUUUGACUGCUCAAACAUGCACGAUGUCCUCACCAGCUCAAGUUCCAUGACUUCAAGUUCACCUUGAUGUAUUC